AACGAACGCUGGCGGCAUGCCUAACACAUGCAAGUCGAACGAGACCUUCGGGUCUAGUGGCGAACGGGUGCGUAACGCGUGGGAACCUGCCCUUAGGUUCGGAAUAACUCCCCGAAAGGGGUGCUAAUACCGGAUAAUGUCUUCGGACCAAAGAUUUAUCGCCCUUGGAUGGGCCCGCGUUGGAUUAGCUAGUUGGUAGGGUAAAAGCCUACCAAGGCGACGAUCCAUAGCUGGUCUGAGAGGAUGAUCAGCCACACUGGGACUGAGACACGACCCAGACUCCUACGGGAGGCAGCAGUGGGGAAUAUUGGACAAUGGGCGAAAGCCUGAUCCAGCAAUGCCGCGUGAGUGAUGAAGGCCUUAGGGUUGUAAAGCUCUUUUACCCGGGAUGAUAAUGACAGUACCGGGAGAAUAAGCUCCGGCUAACUCCGUG
rnacentral:rRNA from 1 species